rnacentral:rRNA from 1 species
AACCUCUGCAAUGCGCGAAAGCGUGACAGGGGAACUUCAAGUGCUAGCAAUGCUAGCUUUUGCUAAGCCUAAAAUCCUUAGCGAAUAAGUGCUGGGUAAGAUGCGUGCCAGCCGCCGCGGUAAUACGUACAGCACAAGUGGUAUCCUCUAAUAUUGGGCCUAAAGAGUGCGUAGCUUGUUUGAAAAGUCUUUGGUGAAAUCAGCCAGCUUAACUUGUUGAAUGGCCAAAGAUACUAUCAAACUAGAGGUCGGGAGACGUGAAAGGAAUUUCUGGGGUAGCGGUGAAAUGUUGUGAUCUCAGAAGGACCUCCGGUAGCGAAGGCGUUUCACGAGAACGAACCUGACAGUGAGGCACGAAAGCUGAGGGAGCGACCCGG